GACGAACGCUGGCGGCGUGCUUAAUACAUGCAAGUCGAACGAAAGGACGAGUAGCUUGCGUUUCUGGUGUUAGCGGCGGACGGGUUAGUUACAAGUGGAUACCCUACCUAUAAGACUGGGGUAACAUAGUGCUACUGGAGCCCCUACUGGGUGUUACUUUGAUCCGCUUGGUUCAAAAGUGAAUGACGAUAUUGCAGCCACCUAUAGAUGGAUUCGCGCUGCAUUAGCUAGAUGGUAAGGUAACGGCUUAGCAAGUCAGCGAUGCAUAGCCGACCUGAGAGGGUGAUCGGCCGCUGGGGAGCUGGGACGCGGUCCAGACACCGACGGGAGGCACCGGUAGGGAAUCUUCCGCAAUGGGCGGAAGCCUGACGGAGGAACGCCGCGUGAGUGAUGAGGAGCAUCGGAGCGUAAAACACUAUUAUUAGGGGAGAACAUAUGUGUGAGUGACUGUGCGCAUCUUGACGGUACCUAAACAGGAAGCCACGGCUAACUACGUG
rnacentral:rRNA from 1 species